ACUGUGUUUGGCAUCGCAGUUCCGACGGCAGCCGCCGUUUCGCGACCCACGGCGGACUUGCAUAAACACUUUCUAGUUGGAAUCUCACCCUGUGAGGUGGGCAAGGUAGUGAUAUUCCUGUUUGACGCCGACAGAAAUAAGAGAGAUUGACUCUCAGAACCAUGUGGCGGGAUUUUAAAGGAGGAUCUUAACAGUGGCUCGGACAGACCCGUGUUUUCUGCUCCUAGCAUUAACUACGUCGUUAAACCCUUCUGAAUUUAUUUCGUCUGUGAAAUGGGGAAAAGAUAGCCACCUUGCAUAACUGGUGAAGAAUUCGUAAACUGACAGCAGAAUCUAGUAAGAGGACUGGCCCGUGGUCGGCUCUUAAUGCUGAGUGCUUUGGACUAUCACGUCCCUC
rnacentral:lncRNA from 1 species